UGGCCCGGACUGGGCCACACAACACUACUCCAGCCAUUCCAACCAUGAUUUGUAAUGUUAAAUUACUUGCCCACGGAUUACUUGCUUACUUUCUAGUUUGCCAAGAUAUGCUGUUAGCUAUAGCAGCAGGAGAAUUGUGAGUAUCGCUCUCUGGAACUGGUCUGCUGGCUCUGGGAAACAUCUCGUCUUCUCUGACUGUUAGCUUCGCAGCAGCAACUAUAGGGACAGCAUACUAACCCACAACGUAGCUAAUGCUAGUUACAUUACUUGCUGUGUCGUUCGCUCUAUAUCAUGGUAUUUGUCAUGGUAUUGGAUUUCUCCAGAAUCGCAUACCCCACCUUUAAUUAACUUAACUGCUCUAACAACAAACAGAAACAGGCUUACUUACAUUUUCUCAUUAGCAUUGCUAACAUUGUAAGCUAGCUAUAAAUUGCUAACGUUAGCUAACAGACAAAGUGCCAUUGCCCAGUGUUUCUCCUGAAACAACUUCAACAAGUAGACACAUUUUUUUUUCUCUCAAAAAGCUACACAGAGGACAGAGUGCGGUUUCAGGAAGUGGAGGGCUGAGGGUGGCAGAGUGCAGGCCUUUGGGUGGCUGGUGGCAGCGGGCGAGUUCUUCCUGCGAGGAGGACUCCCACCAAUGAGAUCAGAGUGAUGGACCCUGGAGACUGUAGGAGACUGGGGGAUGCUGGGGAGAGUACGG